GCGGGCGUAGCAAUACGUCAGCGGCAGACGGGUGAGUAACGCGUGGGAACGUACCUUUUGGUUCGGAACAACACAGGGAAACUUGUGCUAAUACCGGAUAAGCCCUUACGGGGAAAGAUUUAUCGCCGAAAGAUCGGCCCGCGUCUGAUUAGCUAGUUGGUGAGGUAACGGCUCACCAAGGCGACGAUCAGUAGCUGGUCUGAGAGGAUGAUCAGCCACAUUGGGACUGAGACACGGCCCAAACUCCUUCGGGAGGCAGCAGUGGGGAAUAUUGGACAAUGGGCGCAAGCCUGAUCCAGCCAUGCCGCGUGAGUGAUGAAGGCCCUAGGG
rnacentral:rRNA from 1 species